GUAGUUUUUCACAUCCCAGCUCUUUGGAAGGGCCGAGAAACUCUAUGAACAGGAGUGAACAAUUCCUGUUUUUCUGAUUCUCCUUUCCCACCAAAGAUUCCUAACUUUCAACACAGUUGCUGAAGCUUAGGUGAGUUCCAGUGUUUAACAGGAUACUAAAGGGGGAAGUAUGUAAUGAUGUUUGUGACAAAAAAUAAAUGUGAUCAACUGGUAAAAACAGCCUGAUGUUGUGUCUUCAGUGAAUGUUCCCACUAGCCAGGCUGAGCUUAAGGUGUAUGGUCAACUAAACAAUCCAAAAACCAUGUAGCUCCACAAUAAUCAGAAAUUCUGGAUCCAGUAAAACAAGUCUCCUUUAAGACAUGGCUGAAUGCUGGAAGAAAGUAAAGAAAGUUCCUGGAGUCAAAGAUGAAGUGAGAAGGAAAAAUCAGAGCAGUGAGCCACAGACUGGUACAGGUCCGCAACCAUGGGGACCCCUGCAAACUGGAGAUCUUCUCUACCACCACCCUCACACACCCAACCACCCGUAGGUUGGGAGCCCCUGAAAUUCUUGAACUGUCAUGCCAUCCUAUUGACCACACUUGAUUGAAUCAGAAAUAAUCAACCAAGCUGAGUUACUUGGACACUUUCUCCUGGGAAUUUGGAAGCAGA
rnacentral:lncRNA from 10 species